CAAUAGCGUAUAUUAAAGUUGUUGCAGUUAAAAAGCUCGUAGUUGAAUUUCUGUCAGGAGUGACCGGGCCUUUGGAUGAACUUCCAUUGUUUUUUGCUCUGUUUGUCAUCUCUAGACAUCCUGAAAUAUUUUUUAAAAAUAUUUCUCUUUUACUGUUAGCAAAACAGAGUGUUCCAAGCAAAGCGUAGUUUUGAAUACAUUAGAAUGGAAUAAUAAGAUAGGACUUUGGUGCUAUUUUGUUGGUUUGCACACCAAGGUAAUGAUUAAUAGGGACAGUUGGGGGUAUUCGUAUUUAAUUGUCAGAGGUGAAAUUCUUGGAUUUAUGAAAGACGAACUACUGCGAAAGCAUUUACCAAGGAUGUUUUCAUUAA
rnacentral:rRNA from 1 species